rnacentral:rRNA from 1 species
UUGAUCCUGGCUCAGAGUGAACGCUAGCGGCGUGGUUAAGACAUGCAAGUCGAACGAUGAAGCCCAGCUUGCUGGGCGGAUUAGUGGCAUACGGGUGCGUAACACGUGAGCAACCUGCCUUGAAGUGGGGAAUAGCCCGGGGAAACCCGGAUUAAUACCGCAUGUGGUCUCUUUUCGCAUGAAAAGACGACUAAAGUUUGUAAUGACUCUUCAAGAGGGGCUCGCGGCCUAUCAGCUUGUUGGUGAGGUAAAGGCUCACCAAGGCAAAGACGGGUAGCUGGUCUGAGAGGAUGAUCAGCCACACUGGAACUGAGAUACGGUCCAGACACCUACGGGUGGCAGCAGUUUCGAAUCAUUCACAAUGGGGGAAACCCUGAUGGUGCAACGCCGCGUGGAGGAUGACGGCCUUCGGGUUGUAAACUCCUGUCACCAAGGAACAAACGGCAGGUUCAUAGCCUGUCCUGAGUUAACUUGGAGAGGAAGAGGUGGCUAACUCCGUGCCAGCAGCCGCGGUAAUACGGAGACCUCGAGCGUUACUCGGAUUCACUGGGCGUAAAGAGUAUGUAGGCUGUUUGGUAUGUCAGGUGUGAAAGCCCGAAGCUCAACUUCGGAAUUGCGCCUGAAACUACCGGACUUGAGGCCUGGAGAGGGGAGUGGAAUUCCUGGUGUAGCGGUGAAAUGCGUAGAUAUCAGGAGGAACACCAAUGGCGAAGGCAGCUCCCUGGACAGGUUCUGACGCUGAGAUACGAAAGCGUGGGUAGCGAAAGGGAUUAGAUACCCCUGUAGUCCACGCCGUAAACGUUGUACACUAGGUUUCGGAGGGCCUACCCCUUCGGAGCUCAAGCUAACGCGAUAAGUGUACCGCCUGAGGACUAUGGCCGCAAGGCUAAAACUCAAAGGAAUUGACGGGGGCCCGCACAAGCGGUGGAGCAUGUGGCUUAAUUCGAUGCAACGCGAAGAACCUUACCUAGGCUUGACUUGAACCGGACGAAUUCGGAAACGGAUUCUCCUUCGGGG